CGGGACGGGUGAGUAAUGUCUGGGAAACUGCCUGAUGGAGGGGGGUAACUACUGGAAACGGUAGCUAAUACCGCAUAACGUCGCAAGACCAAAGAGGGGGACCUUCGGGCCUCUUGCCAUCGGAUGUGCCCAGAUGGGAUUAGCUAGUAGGUGGGGUAACGGCUCACCUAGGCGACGAUCCCUAGCUGGUCUGAGAGGAUGACCAGCCGCACUGGAACUGAGACACGGUCCAG
rnacentral:rRNA from 1 species